rnacentral:lncRNA from 1 species
ACUUAUUUUAUCCUCAUAGAAAGUAUGAGUCUAGCUGAUAAUCCAGACCAUUGUGCUCGGUUUUUCAAUGUGAUGCUCAGCAAGGGUUUAUUACCCAACUCCGAAACACUAACUACUGCACUGUCUUGUUUAGACAAGCAUUCUCAAAUGCACAUGAUUUUGAGUGCUAUGGAUCAGCUUAUCCCUUGUUCUAAUAUUCUUGGUUCCAGUACCUAUAACAUGCUCAUCAGGGGCCUUUUGAAAGAAGGAUAUAGGAGUGCAGCUGGUCGCUUGCUAGAUGUAAUGUUGGGGAAGGGUUGGAUUCCUAGUACUGAAACUCAUCAAUUACUGGUUGGUUCUGUUGUAAAAGAGGAAUCAGAAGUAAGAGCAUAUAUGAGCGAAAAUUUUGGUCCGCAGGAUGAGGUUAGCAGCAUACUUGAAAAUGCAUUGGCUCAAACAUAACCUGAUUCCAUAUAUCAACACUAUCAUUGGCCGUUGUUGAAUGUCUCCAUUAAGUGCGAUUGUGAAAGCCUCUGUAAGACUUGUAGAUUUCAUCUCAGACUUCAGUGCUAUAAAAGGUAUGCUAUGUUCACACAGCACAUAACUUUGCUUCACGUGGCAUGGGUACUUAACAAAUUGUUCUUCUGACAGUCUUACAUGCACUUAAUAUGUUGGUACAUACUCCACCAAAUUUUAAAAAAUUUUUUUUUUUUGUGUUUUUAAUUUCUUUAGUGGUAGGGCUGGUGUCGGUGUCAGGUCCUGAUUAUGACACUUCAGUGGAUACUGUCAAGUUGUUUUUCGGAUGCUUCUUUGUUGUAUACGUUCUUUGCGGGGAUGUUUCUCAUCAACUCAUGCUCUAUUACAAAUGUACUGAAUUUUGAAGGAAGUUGCUAGAUGGGAAAGUUGUAGGAGCUCUUUGGAAAGAGAUUCUUUUGGAAAGUCAUCUGUACUUGGAACGUCUGGAAUUACUGUUGUACAAGGCAUAAAGGCUUUUGGUUCAUUCGUCCCGGAUAAGAUAAUUAUGUCGUGGAAACUGAUAAUGAUAGGUAUGCUUGCUGAUAGUUUACGUGAAAUUAAUUAAGAGCUACAAGCUUGCGAUGUGGCCUUUUACAUCAUGCACUGGAGGUUAAGGUAAAAGGGACUUGAAUGAAGACGGUUUAGAUAAUACUUACUUUUUUGGGAGGAAUUAGAAGGUACAAUGAAGUAAGGGGACACUUUUGAGCAGCCAAAAGGAUGAGCCAGUUAUCACCUGAACUCCUAAACCUGGGAGUUAAAUUAAAGGUAAAAAAUCUACAUACAACAGAAUUUACAGAACGAAUGACAGGCAGCUGACAGCAGAUUGUUCAAGGCAUAUGCAAUUUGCAGAGUAUGAAAGAUACGGCAACUGGAUUGGAUCAAUGAAAAUUUUGUGGUAUGCUGGUUAUAUCUUGUAUGUAUAGUAUAAUUGAGCUAUAUUGAAGCAUGUUUAAAGCAGGUCCAACAUUGUUAUUAUGUUGAUCCUUCUUCUAGAUGCAUGUGUACACUCAAGUGGGAAAAAAUUGUGCGAGCUUCUGAUGGCAACCUGCUUCACUUGUAUCUAUUGUAAUGACAUAAAUCAUGGCAUAGUUGUCAAUGACUAGCUCUUGUGAUGUCUGUGAGAAGGUUUAAUGUUUUUGAAUCUUCAGACUAGAAUUAUUAUUAUUAUUAUUAUUAUUUUUGGCUGCCUCUGUGGAGUAGUUGGGAAUUUUCGUGAUUGUUGUACGUGGAAUUUCCACGUAUCAUGUUCACUUUUCUUGUGAAAGGGCAAAAUCUGAACCGUGUAGCGUGUCUGCAUUGAGGUUAAGGCUUGCUCUUUGGGACGGAUAAAUGCAGCUAGUUUGGUUUAGAUUCUGGAUUAAUGACUUAAACAGAAGUAGUCUGGUGGACAUGGUCCUGUGCUUAUCAUUCUUCUCCUAGUCUCUGGGAUUUCAUGCUGUGUAAUUUGUAUCUUCUGGCUUCAGCUGGGAUUUUGGAUCAUUCUUGCCUAGUCUUUGUGGUGGUGUACUUUGUUUCUUUAGCUGGGAUUAUGAUGACAACAUAACCUCGUAAUGCGAGCUCUUUUAUGCAGGCGGGCACUUGUUUGCUGUAAUUGCUAUUGGAUUCUUCAGUCAUGCACAUGCACUUAGGUAUCCAAAACAUGAUCUUGUGUAGUAACAUGGGGCAUGCGGUAGAUUAAGUCUUUCUGCAUGAUUGAGCACAUUUACUAAGGUAAAGCUUAAAGGCCAGUUUAAGUAAUCGCAGCAGUUUUCUCUGGCAAAUUGCCAUCUGCUAGGUCGUAGGUACACAACAUUCAAAAUUAUUUUUUUCUCCAGUUUCUGCUAAUUUCUUGCAGCUAACGAGAGCCGUCCUAGUUAUUCUUUUCUUGGUUUCGUCUCCAAAACCACACGGGGCCAUGCUUUUUCUCUCCCCAACCUGGUAAUGAUCCAUUGCAAUGUUAAAUUCACAUCUGAAAAUGUACUAGCUCGAUUAUCAUGAACGACUGUCUUGUCUAGAUGAUGCUCUUUUCUGCGCGUCCAAUUCGAAGGAAGGAAGGAAGAUUCAUGCGACAGCCAACGGGCAUUGUCUGUGGUUGUUGGACGUGUUGCACGUUUGACGCGAGGUUGGUUUACUUUCCGCGAAUACUGCUGCCAUUGAAGAUCAGUCGGCAGUCUGACUUUGAUUUUUUUUUUUUUUUUUUACUAACGACUGCUAAUCCUCCCAUGGAGGGAAAACCAUCCAACUAUACUAAUUGUUGUUUGUGACCCAAUCUCGUGUGUGUCAAUUUCUUGAUUGUCAAAAGGGAUGGAACAUAAAGACUAGGACUCAAUUCCUGUUUAACACCCCCUAUGGCUUGACAGGAGGAGGGAAAAAAGCAGUGGAGGAGGCAGGCAUACAUGGUACAGGACUAAUGACUUGUCCACUGACUUUGGGUAUUGACUCUCAAGUCUCACCCAUUGGAGGCAAGAAAGCAGCAUGAGUUGCUUGGUCCAUCAAAUUGCCUGGUGGGGUGGAAAGUGGAAAGUGGGAAGUGGGAUUUGUGUGAGUCCUACUACUUAAUAGUGCAUAAUCAUUUUGUGCAUUGUAUGGCUAUAUCCCAUUACCUAGUUGCACAAAUUGAGAUGGUAUGCAAGCCAAGCCAACUGGUGUGUCACUUAAAUGAUACCAGAUUUGGUUAUUGAAUAAAAUUUUCAUAUUGGGUUUUGAACUUUUGAUACAAAUAAAAUUCCAAAUUCACGUAUAAAUGAGUUAAGCUACUUGAGUUUGAAUUAAAGUUGGCUUGAUAAAAUAAAAAUCGGUUGGAGUUCAACGAGAAGGAUGCUAAGGUGCUCGGCUCCGGAGUAGAAGUCCAAUUCUUGAGACAGCUUACAAUUUUAUUUUAUUUUUUAAAAAAAAGAAGAGAAGAGAGAGAGAGAGAGAGAGAGAGAGAGAGAGAGAGAGAGAGAAAUUGUUCUGGAGGAAGAGAGUAUAAAGAGACUGUAUAAGGAACUAACAGAUAUAUAGACUCAAUAAAUCAAAUGAGUGUUCUAGUAUCUCUUUUAAAUUUUUUUCAUUGUAGGUGAGAUUCGAACCCCUGACUUGCAGUUCAAAGAGAGAUUUAUUCACUUUUUUAUGGCCACUGAUGAUUUACAUCACACUUAAUUUCUCUUUUUAUGAAAAAAUUGGUUGGACAUAUAUCUACUUAUCUAAGACUAAGAGCUGCUUCUAGCAUUGAACAUCAAAGACGAAAUUUUUCAUCUAUGAUUGAACACUCCAAAUCAUUAAAAUUUGAUAGGGUAGGAGAAUCUUGCCUCCCACCAAUUGAUACAUUAAGGUACUAUGGUUAAAAAAUUUAGACGGGUGUAUAAUGUAUCCAUCUGGUCCAAUAUAAAUUAUAUAAUUAUCGUUUUGAAAAAAAAAAAAAAGAACACCCAAUAGAAAGAGAAAGAGAAAAAGAAAAAGAAAAAUGAAAAAAUGUAAGGAGGAGAAGAAAACAAAUUACUCUUUUUAACUUUUUGUUAGCGACUGACUAAUGAACUGCCCAUCCAUCCAAAUGUUCUUGCACAAACGUCACCUAAGCAUAAGCUUUUUUUUUUUUUUUGGGAGAAAAACCUGAGCCCUAAUUCGAAACUUGUACUAUAUGCUAAAAAAGUUGCACUAAAAAUGUUAAAAUGCCGGUUGAGAAAUUAAUGUCUCGAGAAACAGGAGAGCAAUGGCAAUCACGGAAUCCCAGUGUCCCAUUCCUUAUUUGGUGUUAAAUUACUUCCUGAAUCAAUUUUUAGUUUUUACUUCUUCCUCUUCCACAGGGAGCGAUUCCCAGGCAAAUCAUUAAAAAGCGAAAAUCCCAGGUUAGAGUUUGAUCAUUCCCGCUGUUUACUACUUUUCUUUGCUGCAAACCUUUCAUAUGGAACUUCAAUGGCUGUAAAGCUUGCAUCUUUAGCAUUUUUAAAGAGAAUUCCCAAAAGGGUCAAUUUAAAUGCCUCUUUUUCUUCACUUUCAUGUGCAAAUGUUGUUCAUAUCAAUUCAGAAACUGAUCAUACUCCGUCAAAAUCUGCUGAUUUUGAGUCAAAGAUCCAAUUUUUAAAGAAUAAGCUUCAUCCAGAUAUCUUGGUCCAUGUCUUGGAUUCCACAACUGAUGUAAAUUCUUCGUUGAAAUUGUUCAAAUGGGCUUCACUUCAGAAAACGUUUAAGCAUAAUGUGGAUACUUAUUAUUUGAUGAUUUUGAAGUUGGGUUUGGCUGGAAAUAUUGAGGAAAUGGAGGGAUUUUGUAAUGAGAUGUUAAAGGAGAAAUGUCCUGGUUUUGAUGAAGCUUUCUUGGGAUUGAUUGAAUGUUUUGUUAGAAAUGAUAGGCUUGACGAGGCUUUGAGGGUUCUUUCUUGUAUGAAUUCAAGAAGUUUUAAGCCUUCAGUAAGUGUUUUUAAUAUAGUAAUGGGUGCACUUUUGGUGGCAAAGAGGGAUUUCAAGGAUGUAUUAUUUGUGUAUAAAGAAAUGGUGAAAGUAGGAAUUGUUCCCAACGUGGAGACUUUGAAUUACUUGUUGGAAGCGCUGUUAGAGGAUGAUAGGGUGGGUACAGCUUUGGAACAAUAUAGAAGGAUGAAUAAGAAAGGGUGUAGUCCUAAUAGUAGGACCUUCGAGGUUCUCAUUAGUGGACUUAUUGCCAGGGAAAGGAUCGAUGAAUCUUUGCUUCUUUUAGAUGAAAUUUUUGAACUUAGGUGUGAGGUGGAUUUGAGCUUUUACACUCGGAUAGUACCGCUGCUUUGCCAGAUUAAUAAAUGUGAGGCAGGGAUGAUGUUACUUGUGAAGAUGAAAGCUUCAAAAAUUUCUCCAGAUUCUUCAACUUAUGGAGCUAUGAUAAUAUGUUUAUGCCAGAAUCUUUAUGUGGAUGAAGCUGUCAACCUUUUUGAAGAGAUGGUGGGCAGCGGAAUAACUCCAGAGGAUGAUCUCUAUGUGGAUAUUGUGAAGGGAUUUUGUACAUUAUGUAAAUUUAGUGAAGCAAAGAAGUUUUUAGUAGAUAAUGAUGUUGAUAUAACUUGUCCUUACAAUGCACUUCUUGGAGCUUAUUGCAGUUAUGGUAAUCUUGCGGCAGCAAAAGAUCUGUUUGAUGAUAUGUUUGAGAGGAGUUUAACUGAUAGCUUGUCUUGGAAUUUCUAUAUUCGGUGCCUAUGUGAGAUUGGCGAUAUCAAGAAAGCCUUGGAAGUUCUUUGUAGAAUGAUUGUUUUUUCAUUUCUUCCUGACUCUAUCACUUACUCCGCUCUUAUCAUUGGCAGAUGCAAGCAGGAUGAACUUGAUGAUGCUAUACUGUUGUUCAAUCAGGUCCAGCAGAAGUGUGAUGUUUUGGAUUCUGUAUCCUAUGCUGAACUUGUUAGAUGCCUUUCUUAUAAUGAAAAGAUUCAAGAGGCUGCUGAAGUUUAUUGUUAUAUGUCAGGAAAGCAAGUAGCUUUGCAGUCAACCUCUUUUGAUUUGUUCAUUAAGGGGCUUUGUGCAAUAAGAGAAGUCGAGAGUGCAAUCAGGUUUCUAUCUCUUGCUCAUUGUUCUGGUACAUCGUACUCGUCUGUAGCUUACUACAGCAUAAUGCGAGUUUUAUCCAAGUUAGAAAAGGCAGAUGACCUUUUAGUGGUAUUAUCACGAAUGAUUGUAGAUGGUUGUCCUGUUGAGGAAGAAACUUAUUUUAUCCUCAUAGAAAGUAUGAGUCUAGCUGAUAAUCCAGACCAUUGUGCUCGGUUUUUCAAUGUGAUGCUCAGCAAGGGUUUAUUACCCAACUCCGAAACACUAACUACUGCACUGUCUUGUUUAGACAAGCAUUCUCAAAUACACAUGAUUUUGAGUGCUAUGGAUCAGCUUAUCCCUUGUUCUAAUAUUCUUGGUUCCAGUACCUAUAACAUGCUCAUCAGGGGCCUUUUGAAAGAAGGAUAUAGGAGUGCAGCUGGUCGCUUGCUAGAUGUAAUGUUGGGGAAGGGUUGGAUUCCUAGUACUGAAACUCAUCAAUUACUGGUUGGUUCUGUUGUAAAAGAGGAAUCAGAAGUAAGAGCAUAUAUGAGCGAAAAUUUUGGUCCGCAGGAUGAGGUUAGCAGCAUACUUGAAAAUGCAUUG